rnacentral:tRNA from 1 species
GCGGGCGUGGCGAAACUGGUAGACGCAAGGGACUUAAAAUCCCUCACCUCAGGUAUGCGGGUUCGAGUCCCGCCGCCCGCACCA